ACGGGCAUGGUGCAACGGCUAGCAUACGGGUCUCCAACACCCUUGAUCUGGGUUCGAAUCCUAGUGCCCGUG
rnacentral:tRNA from 2 species